rnacentral:rRNA from 1 species
AGAGUUUUGAUCAUGGCUCAGAGCGAACGCUGGCGGCAGGCCUAACACAUGCAAGUCGAACGGAUCCUUCGGGAUUAGUGGCGGACGGGUGAGUAACACGUGGGAACGUGCCUUUUGGUUCGGAACAACUCAGGGAAACUUGAGCUAAUACCGGAUAAGCCCUUCGGGGGAAAGAUUUAUCGCCAUUAGAGCGGCCCGCGUAGGAUUAGCUAGUUGGUGGGGUAAAGGCCCACCAAGGCUACGAUCCUUAGCUGGUCUGAGAGGAUGAUCAGCCACAUUGGGACUGAGACACGGCCCAAACUCCUACGGGAGGCAGCAGUGGGGAAUCUUGCGCAAUGGGCGAAAGCCUGACGCAGCCAUGCCGCGUGAAUGAUGAAGGUCUUAGGAUUGUAAAAUUCUUUCACCGGGGACGAUAAUGACGGUACCCGGAGAAGAAGCCCCGGCUAACUUCGUGCCAGCAGCCGCGGUAAUACGAAGGGGGCUAGCGUUGCUCGGAAUUACUGGGCGUAAAGGGAGCGUAGGCGGAUAGUUUAGUCAGAGGUGAAAGCCCAGGGCUCAACCUUGGAAUUGCCUUUGAUACUGGCUAUCUUGAGUACGGAAGAGGUAUGUGGAACUCCGAGUGUAGAGGUGAAAUUCGUAGAUAUUCGGAAGAACACCAGUGGCGAAGGCGACAUACUGGUCCGUUACUGACGCUGAGGCUCGAAAGCU